GGGCGCGUGGCCUAGCUGGAUAUGGCACUUGCCUCCUAAGCAAGCGGUCAAGGGUUCGAAUCCCUUCGCGCCCG
rnacentral:tRNA from 1 species